rnacentral:RNase_P_RNA from 13 species
AAGAAGAAGAAGAGGCAGAGGCAGAAGAGGAAGAAGAGGGAGAUGGAGAUCUUAACCCAUUUUUCGAUCUCUUUUCUUUUCCUUUAUCCUUUCCUUUUUUCUUUUCUUUUUCUUUCCCUUUCUCU